rnacentral:lncRNA from 1 species
AGCAGCCGCGCCAGCCUCAUGCCGAGUCCCGCUAGAGAAGCCACAGCCAGUACGCCAGGUUUCCCCGCGCCUCUGCCGAGUGGGUUGAAGGCAAAUACUUGAAGUUGCAAUCGAAGGUCAAGAAAAUGGAAUCAAGAGGUCACAAUCCUUCUCUGAUGAUGGCUUAGAAAGCUGGAAGACACUCAACAUUGAAUCCUGGGGCUCUGUGCCAUGCUUGCUAGGAGAAACAGCCACCAUGAGUCCAUCUUUCAGAUCUCAAGUGAACAGUCAUUCUCCAGCUGGGAUUGAGAACAAGGGGAAGCUGGCCAUAGAGCCAGGUGACCAAAGAUGGAAGACAAAGGGUGGGCUGUGAUUCCCAGAGCUCCAAGCCUUGUUCUGUCUUGUCACACCAACUGUUACUGAUGAACAGCUUGCAGUGCCAGUACCUUAAGACAGUUUUCUCCGUAAUGGGGCUAUGAGGGAAAUGAGCACCAAAGCACAUGACUUCAGGACAUGAGUGUGGGGUACAGGGAAAAGAGACAUGUUCUGAACCUGAAUGAAGCUGGGGAACC